UCAACGCGGCAACAGCCAGGAUGAGGAAGUAGAUGACACCAAUGGGAUUUUAAAAUACAAGUACUUUCAUGAAAGGAGUACGUCUCUUUAUGUGAUGUAACGAGAAUAUCAACUUCAAUCAGUGUUGUUCUCGAUGGAUAAUCGACUGACCUUAGUAGUAGACUUCAUACCUGAUCUUUCUUUAUUUGUGUCUUGUUAUCAACAGGUAAGGCUUACAUAACGUUCAGCUCAUUCAUAAAAUACGACAUGAUUAUGGAAGCACAACGGCGCUUGUGCAGAUAAGAAAAUUGAAAAUGUAAUUGGGGAAGUUUCUCCGAGGAAGGGUCAUGAAUGAGAUGACGAAGUUCUACAAAUAUAUUGCAGAGAAACUAGGGGUUUUCUGGAUAUUUCACAUUGCUAGCAUAACAGCUGCGUUGCCAAGUUGUGAUGACGUCAUCAGUGUCAUCAUACCUUCGUCUUACUCUGUACGCACUGGACACAGUGUAACACUGCAGUGUUCAUUUACUCCUGCUGCUGUGGUGUACCAAGUGAAGUGGUCAUGG